GAGUUCUCUUUAAUCAUUUCACAUGGCACUAUUUUAAGGCCUACUGUGUGAAGUGUUUGGGGGAUUCUC
rnacentral:pre_miRNA from 1 species